UCUAACUUUAGGAUGCAGGGAUUUCUUCUCCACAGACUCUGGCUGAAUGGAUUGUUUGGCAAUUUCACAGUGAAUAUCCAUUCAGAAAAUGAAUUUCCAGCAGUGAAAAUCAGUGUGUUGCAGCCAAUCAACCUAUUACAGCAGAAACCCAGAUGAAGAAAAACAUUACAAGAGCCCAUGAAAUAUCAGAAGUGACUAUAGGAUUAUGGAUAACCAAUAUAAUAACAUCAUAAAAAAGAAGGAAAUGGCAAUUGAAAUUCUUUUGAAGAUUCUGAAAUCUAAUGCCACUUAUCCCCUACUGCCUCUCUGCAGAUUCCUAAUGCUGUUCUUGUGGGAGGACGAUCUACUCAUGUGUAGCUGUCAGCGUUCUUCGCCUGUUACUCUGGGAGCAGAGAGCCAGGAGGUCACCACUGAUCUGCCAUUUUCCACAAGUUCUCAGCAUAGUCUCGAAAGAUGUUCAAAUAUGGACUGCAUUGUACAUUUGUAA
rnacentral:lncRNA from 1 species